rnacentral:tRNA from 1 species
UCCCUGGUGGUCCAGUGGUUAGAACUUUGUGCUGUCACUGCCGAGGGCCUGGGUUCAAUUCCUGGUCAGGGAA